AGUGAACGCUGGCGGUAGGCCUAACACAUGCAAGUCGAACGGCAGCACAGUAAGAGCUUGCUCUUACGGGUGGCGAGUGGCGGACGGGUGAGGAAUACAUCGGAAUCUACUUUUUCGUGGGGGAUAACGUAGGGAAACUUACGCUAAUACCGCAUACGACCUACGGGUGAAAGCAGGGGAUCUUCGGACCUUGCGCGAUUGAAUGAGCCGAUGUCGGAUUAGCUAGUUGGCGGGGUAAAGGCCCACCAAGGCGACGAUCCGUAGCUGGUCUGAGAGGAUGAUCAGCCACGCUGGAACUGCGACACGGUCCAGACUCCUACGAGAGGCAGCAGUGGGGAAUAUUCGACAAUGGGCGGAAGCCUGAUCCAGCCAUACCGCGUGGGUGAAGAAGGCCUUCGUGUUGUAAAGCCCUUUUGUUGGGAAAGAAAAGCAGCAGGUUAAUACCCCGCUGUUCUGACGGUACCUAAAGAAUAAGCACCGGCUAACUUCGUG
rnacentral:rRNA from 1 species